GAAAAAUCCAUGAAGCAUCUUAUUGAAAAAUCCAAUUCAACAGACUUUCCAUACUUGGUAUGUUGUGCAUAAACAGAAAUAGAACCAGCUUAAACACAAACAUGACAGUAUGAAUGACACAUAACAUAUUGUUAACAAUAAGAUUGCUAUAAGAAAUUCCUCAAACCGUUAAAAAUGUUGUAUAACUAAUAUAACCAACACCAAACAGAAGGGAGGAAAUAUCAACGAAUCAAGAAUCCCCCCCUCAUUCCACCAGCAUGUUUGUUAAAUGUUAACGUUAAUAAGAAAAACAAAUAAAAGAUCUAGGAAAUAUCAACUAAACAACUUAAAGACAACAAUGCAUAAAACUUCAUACUAUAAAAGUAAUUAAGCUACAAAAUGUUAUGACGAGACAAAAAUUGCAAGUUUUCUUUGCACAGUUUGGAGCACAAACUAAUAACUACUCUACAAG
rnacentral:misc_RNA from 1 species